rnacentral:rRNA from 1 species
UACGUAGGGUGCGAGCGUUAAUCGGAAUUACUGGGCGUAAAGCGUGCGCAGGCGGUUAUUUAAGUCAGGUGUGAAAGCCCUGGGCUUAACCUAGGAAUUGCGCUUGAGACUGGAUAGCUUGGAGUGCGGCAGAGGGAGGUGGAAUUCCACGUGUAGCAGUGAAAUGCGUAGAUAUCGGAAGGAACAUCAGUGGCGAAAGCGACUUCCUGGACCAGUACCGACGUUCAGGCACGAAAGCGUGGGGAGCAAACAGG